UUACGACCACAUCACGUUGAAACAUUGGUUCCUGUACGAUCACCGAAGUUAAGCAACGUCGAGCCUGGUCAGUACCUACAUAGGUGACCAUUUGGUAAUGCUAGGUUUUGUA